AUUGAACGCUGGCGGCAGGCCUAACACAAGCAAGUCGAACGAGUGGCGGACGGGUGAGUAAUGUCGGGGAAACUGCAUGAUGGAGGGGGAUAACUACUGGAAACGGUAGAUAAUACCGCAUAACAUAGGAUGUGCUCAGAUGGGAUUAGCUAGUAGGUGGGUUAACGGCUCACCUAGGCGCCGAUCCAUAGCUGGUCUGAGAGGAUGACCAGCCCCACUGGAACUGAUACACGGUCCAGACUCCUACGGGAGGCAGCAGUGGGGAAUAUUGCACAAUGGGCUCAAGCCUGAUGCAGCCAUGCCGGGUGUAUGAAGAAGGCCUUCGGGUUGUAAAGUACUUUCAGCGAGGAGGCGUUACUCGCAGAAGAAGCACCGGCUAACUCCGUGCCAGCAGCCGCGGUAAUAC
rnacentral:rRNA from 1 species